ensembl:misc_RNA Metazoa_SRP Metazoan signal recognition particle RNA
GCUGUUCAGCGGGGCAGAGUGUGUUUGGGAAGAUGAGGUGGGAGGAUCGCUUGGGCCCAGGAGUUCCAGGCUGUAGUGCACUAUGCUCAUCGGGUGUCUGCACUGAGUUUGGCAGUAUAGUUACCUCCCGGGAGCAGGGGACCACGAGGUUUCCUAAGGAGGGGUGAACCGGCCCAGGUGGGAAACGGAGCAGGUGAAAACUCCCGUGUUGAUCAGUAGUGGGAUCGUGCCUGUGGAGAUGGCAGCACAGCCAUGUGAAGGCACUUAGCGCCCCUGACUGUA